CCUACGGGAGGCAGCAGUGGGGAAUAUUGGACAAUGGGCGCAAGCCUGAUCCAGCAAUGCCGCGUGUGUGAAGAAGGCCUUCGGGUUGUAAAGCACUUUAGGCAGGGAAGAAAAAAUCGGCGAUAACAUCGCCGAUCUUGACGGUACCUGAGGAAUAAGCACCGGCUAACUCUGUGCCAGCAGCCGCGGUAAUACAGAGGGUGCAAGCGUUAAUCGGAUUUACUGGGCGUAAAGCGUGUGUAGGUGGUUAGAAAAGUCGAUUGUGAAAUCCCUGGGCUCAACCCGGGAACUGCUUUCGAGACUGUUUGACUAGAAUUCGGUAGAGGGAGGCGGAACUCCAGGUGUAGCGGUGAAAUGCGUAGAUAUCUGGAAGAACACCAAUGGCGAAGGCAACCUCCUGGGCCUGAAUUGACACUGAGACACGAAAGCGUGGGGAUCAAACAGGAUUAGAUACCCUGGUAGUCCACGCCGUAAACGAUGAGAACUUGACGUCGGUUUGCUCUGCGAAUCGGUGUCGUAGCUAACGCGAUAAGUUCUCCGCCUGGGGAGUCGGCCGCAAGGUUGAAACUUAAAUGAAUUGACGG
rnacentral:rRNA from 1 species